CCUACGGGAGGCAGCAGUGGGGAAUAUUGCGCAAUGGGCGAAAGCCUGACGCAGCGACGCCGCGUGAGGGAUGAAGGUCUUCGGAUCGUAAACCUCUGUCAGCAGGGAAGUACGGUCACUGUGCUAAUCAGCAGUGAAUUGACGGUACCUGCAAAGGAAGCACCGGCUAACUCCGUGCCAGCAGCCGCGGUAAUACGGAGGGUGCGAGCGUUAAUCGGAAUUACUGGGCGUAAAGCGCUCGUAGGCGGUAUGUCAAGUCAAGGGUGAAGUCCCCGCGCUCAACGUGGGAACUGCAUUUGAAACUGGCAAACUGGAGUGUGUGAGAGGAUAGUGGAAUUCCAGGUGUAGGAGUGAAAUCCGUAGAUAUCUGGAGGAACAUCAGUGGCGAAGGCGACUAUCUGGCACAUAACUGACGCUGAGGAGCGAAAGCGUGGGUAGCAAACAGGAUUAGAUACCCUAGUAGUC
rnacentral:rRNA from 1 species